UCGGUGACACAAAGCAAAGGUCUCGGAAGGAGCCCCGAUGGAGGGAAAUUCCGUCUGUGACAAACUUCAACACGGCAGUGAGAGAAUGUUUCACCUACGAGAUGCCCUGCAGUGGUGAAUGAACAGGAAAGAAAAAUUUUCAAAAAACAUGAAAGCGAAAGGCACGAAACCUAGGAGUGAAAAUACACAUCCCUCAACAGACCGCAGUGAAGGAUGCAAAUGGCGUCUGCUCCCACCGACACUGCUCAGGCUUCGCGGGCUGGUCACCCGGGGUCGCCGCCACCCUGCCCCCAUGUAACACACACUGCAAGUCUCCACAAGCCAUGGCGUGUUCUUAAGGCUCCAGAUCCAGAAGGCUGUGGUCAAGAUCAGUCCUUGAGACAAGCUAAAAGGUGGAAGAUGAACAACCAAUAUGGAGCAAGAGGGGAUGGAGGGAGCUGUAUGUGUGUGCACGUGUGUGUGCACGUGUGUAUGUGCACACUUGUACGUGAGUGCAUGUGCGUGAGUGUGCACGUGUGUGAGGUGUGGACUACACGCAGACCUCUCCUGCCCGGGCCAGCAGGUGGUCCUGGCUUGUGGAUGAGGGCGGGGCAGACAGGUGUAGGGGGCUGGUGGGGUGCGCACCUCCCCACGCGCUGCCACAGGUAAGAUCCUGGGGCUCACGUUGCCACGCGGGGCUCAGACUCAGGUUGCUGUCGAAGCAGUGCUGAGCUGGAAACCUCAACAAUCUGAUACUGGCAACAAAUGUUCGGUGCCUGGUAAUAACUGCUCAGCUGGCGUUUGCUCACAACCUGUGUGUGUGAGCUGAUUCUGCACACGUCUCCUCCCUCACCUCCAGCGUGCGAGGCAGGCGGGAGGGCAGGAGGCCCGGCUGUGCGGUGGAGGCAGGACGUCACAGUGCAAAUGCCCUGGGCUUCUGCGGGAAAGACUGCGGUGUGCCCUCUGUGUGACUAAAUCUGCUGGUUCUAUGGGGCGGCGUCUGCCUGACCAGGCUGUUGGAAGGGUUCUGGAAGAUUCUGUGUUUGAGUCUGACCCCUGAUGGAUACUAGCUCUGUCACACGGCCAGCGAGUGUCAGAGCGACGGCCCAGACGCCCGCGGCCCGGACGCCCACGCCCGCCUUCCCCGGACGCCCGCGGCCCGGACGCCCACCCCUGCCUUCCAGAUGUUCCAUCGGAACAAGUUCUGACACAGGAUCCAUGUGCUCCACGGAUGCAGACGUGUCCUGGGCAGGUGGCCUGGAGGGAGGAACAGGGAGGCAGAUGCAGUUACAGCUCUGUGUCAUGGUGAUGACACGCUGCACCAUGAGCAGUUGGCGGCAGAAGGGGGUCUAGCAGGUCGGCAGCUCAGGGGUCACGCUCACUAUGAGCCAUGGAGAGAAAGUAGCCUAGACAGCUGGAGAAACGUCAAGGCUGGAGAAGGUCCUGGAAGCCACCAGUGUGUGUGUGAAGCCUGGAGCUCGAGAGUCCACAGGAGACCACCCGUGUGGAUGACACAGAAAACCUCCGCCAAUCACUUGAGCGCUUCUCUCGAACCCUGAGGGUGAAAGCCACGUGCACAAGUUUGCCGCCAAGUGCUUGUGUCUUUGAGUAGCCCGCCUCUGCCUGGUGUUUGGGAGCCUGGACCUGCUCCCAGGCAUUUCCUGCUGCGAACGCCGUGAACCAGACUUUGAGUGCCACGUGUACAAAUCCGUGAAGGCCUCCCUCACCUGGGAACGCUGCCUCCAAAGCAAAGGGGACAGGGGGCACGUGAGCCAUUCACACCUGGGAAGCAGGAGCCCCACGAGUUAUUAACAGCGAGGCCGACGUGCGGUUGGGCCCACGUCCCCCUCAGGCCCCGGCCGCCAGAACCCGCGGAAACUUGGACAGCUGAGACCAGAGGGGAUUAGCCAUGGCCUAAAGAUGGCGCGCUCAUGUUAACUAGACUGAAUGGGGCGAUCACUUCUCAGUAGAUACCCAUGUUGACUCACAUACUAUACGCCUGAAAUUAAUAUGUUAUAU